rnacentral:tRNA from 18 species
UCCUGGCUUCAAACCAGAGUAUGUUGGAGUGGGGUUCUGGAGGUUCGAC